AGCUCCGAGGUGUUUUUACAUAUCGGAUUGCAAAUCCGAAGUAGCAGGGUUACUUCUGCCGGGGCUUU
rnacentral:tRNA from 1 species